CUGUGAGCAAGAUCUCCGCUUGCCUUGGCUGUCAGCUCCCGCCUGGUCUGCCUGGUCUGCAGCCUUCGGACUAGAUGGACACAACGAAGGUGAAGGACAUACCACGCCCCGUGGAGCGGAGCUGGGCAGAGGUCCCGGGCAGGCGUCUGAGCAGUGGAUGGGGGCGGCGAAUGCAUCAACAGAGGAAAGGCCAGGGUGCAAGGUUCUGCCUGUGCAUAAACAAAAGGGUUGUGUCAGUUUGUUCUGGCCCCAAAAGGGAUUCAGAAAAACCAGCCCGUGAAAUCCCAGCGGUGCUGAGUUCCUGGGUGCUCAGACUGGGGGUAUCAAAGCCUAGUCUGUAGGCGGGGAAGUGUGUGGCUGGGCAGGCUGAUUAGCUGGAAUGGGCGUGGGUUGGAUGAAAAGUAAUAAUUAAUGUUUUAUGUUGUGGAAAAUGUAAGAAAGAACAAUUCCAGAACAGACCCCCGGAUUUGGCGUGACCAUUAGAAAGAAAAUAUGUCUCUUGGCCUGCUGAGUUUGUGCUCGCUGAAAGAGGCCUGCCAAUUUGCAACGUCUAUGCCCAUUUGCAAGGUCUGUGCCAACUGGAGAAAAACAUCCAGAGACAAGGAGUUUAUUCUAAAAGUAACAAGAUAACGGCUGUCCUUGAUGGCUGGUACAAACUUUGUUUUCCUAUGUGACGAAGUGGGACUGUUCUUAAUGUUUCCUCUGAAUAGAGUGGGGGUGCCUCAGUUUCCCCUAGGCAGUUCUUAAGUAUCUAGGUGGUGGGAUAACGGUGUAUGAUCAUUGCAGAGCCCUAGAGGGCAGGCGUGUGCAGGGGUCUGGACACAGAGAAUGGCCGACACCCUGUUUCCUGGCAACUGAUGGCCUGGGCCCUUCCCCCCUGCCAGGUGAGAGCUAAAGGGUUGGAGAACAAAGGAAUCCAGUGACCUCCUGGCCCGGGACAGGGACAAAACCCAGAGGAGGAGGGGCUGGAGGGAGUUUCAGUUUGGGUCUGGCUGGGGACGAGGAGUGAAGGGCAGAAGGGGUUGUCUGGCUCACUGCCCCCCAAAAUGGACCCAGCUGAGGGGUCCUGUUCUCUGCACCUGCAAGCUCUGUGUUAGACCAUGUUCCUGUCGUCUAAUAAACCUUCUGUUUUACUGGCUGGCUGAGAGUCCCGUCUGACUGCGGAGUUCGGGGGCAGGACCCUCUGGCUUCCCUAGGAGCCCACCUGGGCGGACUUGCUGUGGGAAGCGCACGGAGGGGCAGAGGAUGCCGAAUGCGCUCCGAGGUCAGACCCAGGAAGGUGGAGCCGGGUGAGCUGUGUGUCCUGCAGACAGGCUGCUCCCAGAGAGAAGACUUCCCCAGAGUCCUGACUGGCUUCAUAGGGAGCAGUUCCAGAGCAUCGCCCGGGGACCCCGUGACAUCCUAAACUCCAGAAUAAGAUCUGUGAACCCCCCACUCUUGCAUGCUUAUCUUGUUUGUUUCCUUUUAGGGGUAACAAGUGGGAUGAGUAGACUUAUUGAAGUGUGCCAUGGCCCACUGAUGUUAGAAUGGUUAUGUUAAAGGAUGGGUAGGUGACAAAAUGCAGAUGGGACAGGAUAUACGAUGGAGUGUGAGUGGGAUUCUAUGUAUGAUUGAACGAGGAAUGAAAGAUUAAAGAUUGAGGUGCCAGCCUUAAAAUAAGAGCGUUUGGCUGAAGAAUACAGUGGACGAGACAGCCUGAUAACCCUGAGGGCAUACUUGCCCCAGGGACUGGGGGCCGAAGAACAAGACAACAACAUGCUGUCAUUCCGUCCUUGCUGUGCCAUCUGUGUGACUGACUGUCACUUCAAACGUGAGAACAGCAUGACGAGGCAAAUACAGGAGGAUGGAUCCCUACAAGAACAGACCCUGAAGACUGAGGACUUUAGGUCUGAUUCUGCAGACCAACUUCCAGGAGCAUCAGAUGCACAUCUGACAAGGCCCUGCUCCCUCCUUGUGUCCAGGCCUCCUGGCCAGUGGCUUGGUACGAGCAACUCUAAGGCUGGUAACUAUGAUAACAACCUGGCAGAACCCGUGUGUGUGUGAAUGAAUGUGAAAUUGGAUGGAAUGUUAUUGCUAUAACUGACUGCUUACCAGGAUUCUUUCUGUGUUCACAGUAAACAUGGCAUCUGGCCUUUUCCCCUUUAAUAAGAUCCUGCUCGUUUUUAUUUUAUUGGUAUAACAUUUGCCUAGAGAUCGACAGAAGGGAACGCCCAGGAUUUUGGUGCUUCUCUGAGAUUAGGGCCCCAGUGUGCCCGGAACUGGACGGACCCCCCUCCCAACCAAGAUUGGGGCUCCAUUGUGACAGGCAUUACACAGUCACACACCCCCAACCGAGGUGGGGGCCCCAUUGUGUCUGGCACUGUGCAACCCCUGCCCCCACAUGAUGCAAUGCACCCCUGUAUUCACACCCAGCACGCCAUUGUAACCGUCUUUGUACAAGGGACGCCUGGGGAGGUAUCGUUUGGAAACUCAUCCUUUGCUGAUCAGUAGUGUCCUGACCACAUAGGCUUGGCAGCAUUGGAUGUGAAGCGAGACGCUUUCCCCGCACGAUGUGAUUUACACACAGUCCAAACCCCACAGCCGUGCCCUGGCAGAAGUCAGCAAGCGGGUUUGUCCUGAGCAAAAGACUGUGUGUUUGCCUUAAGCUGCAUUUAAGCAGUAAACAGAGUCAUCAGGUGCAAAAGGGGAAGGAAGGAAACAAAAGGAAACUUGCAUGUAAGUACAUGCAGGUGAAAAAACCCAGCAGGGAACAUCCUUCCACAUAUAUGCUUUGUCCACUGGUUCUCAGCUGGCAAUGUUUUUCGGGGAUGGGGGGGACAUAAAUGAUAAAAAGGAGGGACAAACACCUCAGGGAAUCCCCCCUCUCUCUCCCUACCCAUCUCAUUCUCUGCAGCUGAGAAGACCAAGGAAACAGCUGUUGGACUCUGGGGGACGGGGCCUGACUUGAAGAGUUCGGUCAGUAUGACCGUGCGCUGGAGGCAUGUGGUGAGGAACUCCGCUUGUAUCGGAUACAGAUGGGGAGAGGUCGAAAUCUGCACUGUCCACGUGAAUUUCAGGAUCAGCCUUGGACUGUGGUGCAGCUCUUCCCCCAGCAACCAGCACUCUGUCCUGUGGAAUCUCAGCACCUUCCCUAUCGCUGGGGAAAUGAAUAAUUAACUGCCCCAAGGUCCAGCAAAUAUCAACUUUCCCCCAGCGGUUCACCAGCCAGGGCAGUGCAUUCAUUCCUGCCUGCCUGUUAGCGAGGGAGGCUGCGCUGAAGGGAGGCCAGGGAAGCAGUUUCCGCCUUUGCAGCCCCUGGGAAAGCAGGGACACGAUCGACUGGGCCCCAGCCUUCAAUCAGUGAAUGAUUUGUGGAGCCCUCGCUACCCCCUCCCCCGUGCAAAGGCUUCAUGGCCACAGAUUGCAAGGUGAAAACAGCAGGGCUCUGAGCAUAGCGAAUACCAAGCCAAAGCUUAGCCCUGGUCUACACUAGGACUUCAGGUCGAAUUUAGCAGCGUUAAAUCGAUGUAAACCUGCACCCGUCCACACAAUGAAGCCCUUUAUUUCGACUUAAAGGGCUCUUAAAAUCGAUUUCCUUACUCCACCCCUGACAAGUGGAUUAGCGCUUAAAUCGACGUUGCCGGCUCGAAUUUGGGGUACUGUGGACACAAUUUGCCGGUAUUGGCCUCCGGGAGCUAUCCCAGAGUGCUCCAUUGUGACCGCUCUGGACAGCACUCUCAACUCAGAUGCACUGGCCAGGUAGACAGGAAAAGAACCGCGAACUUUUGAAUCUCAUUUCCUGUUUGGCCAGCAUGGCAAGCUGCAGGUGACCAUGCAGAUCUCAUCAGCAGAGGUGACCAUGAUGGAGUCCCAGAAUCGCAAAAGAGCUCCAGCAUGGACCGAACGGGAGGUACGGGAUCUGGUCGCUGUUUGGGGAGAGGAAUACGUGCUAUCAGAACUCCGUUCCAGUUUUCAAAAUGCCAAAACCUUUGUCAAAAUCUCCCAGGGCAUGAAGGACAGAGGCCAUAACAGGGACCCGAAGCAGUGCCGCAUGAAACUUAAGGAGCAUAGGCAAGCCUACCAGAAAACCAGAGAGGCGAACGGCCGCUCCGGGUCAGAGCCCCAAACAUGCUGCUUCUAUGAUGAGCUGCAUGCCAUUUUAGGGGGUUCAGCCACCACUACCCCAGCCGUGUUGUUUGACUCCUUCAAUGGAGAUGGAGGCAAUAUGGAAGCAGGUUUUGGGGACGAAGAAGAUGAUGAUGAGGAGGAGGUUGUAGAUAGCUCACAGCAAGCAAGCAGAGAAACCGGUUUUCCCGACAGCCAGGAACUGUUUCUCACCCUAGACCUGGAGCCAGUACCCCCCGAACCCACCCAAGGCUGCCUCCUGGACCCAGCAGGCGGAGAAGGGACCUCUGCUGCAUGUGUUUCAAUGAUCACAGGAUCUUCUCCUUCCCAGAGGCUAGUGAAGCUUAGAAAGAAAAAAAACGCACUCGCGAUGAAAUGUUCUCCGAGCUCAUGCUGUCCUCCCACACUGACAGAGCACAGACGAAUGCGUGGAGGCAAAUAAUGUCAGAGUGCAGGAAAGCACAAAAUGACCGGGAGGAGAGGUGGCGGGCUGAAGAGAGUAAGUGGCGGGCUGAAGAGAGUAAGUGGCGGGCUGAAGACAGGGCUGAAGCUCAAAUGUGGCGGCAGCGUGAUGAGAGGAGGCAGGAUUCAAUGCUGAGGCUGCUGCAGGACCAAACCAGUAUGCUCCAGUGUAUGGUUGAGCUGCAGCAAAGGCAGCUGGAGCACAGACUGCCACUGCAGCCCCUGUGUAACCAACCGCCCUCCUCCCCAAGUUCCAUAGCCUCCACACCCAGACGCCCAAGAACGCGGUGGGGGGGCCUCCGGCCAACCAGCCACUCCACCACAGAGGAUUGCCCAAAAAAAAGAAGGCUGUCAUUCAAUAAAUUUUAAAGUUGUAAACUUUUAAAGUGCUGUGCUUAAAGUGCUGUGUGGCAUUUUCCUUCCCUCCUCCACCACCCCUCCUGGGCUACCUUGGUAGUCA